AUUGAACGCUAGCGGGAUGCUUUACACAUGCAAGUCGAACGAGUGGCGGACUGGUGAGUAAUAUAUCGGAACGUGCCCAGUAGCGGGGGAUAACUACUCGAACGAGUGGCUAAUACCGCAUACUAUUUGAACGGCCGAUAUCUGAUUAGCUAGUUGGUGGGGUAAAGGCUCCACAAGGCAACGAUCCGUAGCUGGUUUGAGAGGACGACCAGCCACACUGGGACUGAGACACGGCCCAGACUCCUCCGGGAGGCAGCAGUGGGGAAUGUUGGACAAUGGGGGAAACCCUGAUCCAGCCAUCCCGCGUGUAUGAGAAGGCCUUCGGGUUGUAAAGUACGUUCAGUCGGGAGGCGUUACCGACAGAAGAAGCACCGGCUAACUCCGUGCCAGCAGCCGCGGUAAUAC
rnacentral:rRNA from 1 species